rnacentral:lncRNA from 1 species
GAGUUUAAUUAUAUGAAAGGGAACCAUGAAAAGCUGAAGAAAGGAGGGAUAAGGUACAGAAAAGAGAGGAACUUACCUGGAGGCCAAAUAAGGUCGGAUUUCUCUCGGUGGGGACUCAUGCGUACUCCCUCUAUUUUUGUGGUUUUUGUUUCUCUCUCUAGAUUUCUAUUAAUUUCUCUUGGCUUUCUUCCUUAAUUCAACUCUCUAUUUCUUUCUUUCUUUCAGAAAAAGAUGAAGGAAUGAGAAUGGGAUUAAAAAGCCUUUAAAUUGGAACACCCAUUCAGUUUUC